ACAACAGAGAUAAUAUUGUAGAUGUAUAUGUGAUA
rnacentral:guide_RNA from 1 species